rnacentral:lncRNA from 1 species
AUGGUUGCUGGAGAUUGGCAGCUAGAGAUCCUCACCAAAUCACCAGUCACCCCAACCCCAAUCUCAAUAGCUCACCUCUGUUUCAUCUCAGAAUUUCAUUUUAAUAGCUUCAAGUCCUUCUUGCUCUUCUUGCCUUGCUCCCCAAAGCCAUGGUAUGUAUAUUUGAUCAUCACGCAAACUCCUUUGGGCUCUCAAAUUGAUUUCUAUUUGUAACUUUUUUCCUUUCUUUUCUGUGUGUUUUUUUUUCCUUUGUGAUGCAGUCUCUUACACCAGUGAUGUUUAGGUCACUGAUGAGGCUACUAACAUCUCUAAUUGGAGAGCCAGCUGCUUCAGUCUCAACCUUGCUUUACUACAGUGAGCUUCUGCCUCAGAAUAUCAUCUUGGAAAGAUUAGUUCGACAUGAAUUGCUCGAUCGAGAAAACUAUUUGUUCCAUUUCCUCAUCAACUUCUUGAGAUGUUUUUGGUAG